CUCCUACGGGAGGCAGCAGUGAGGAAUAUUGGUCAAUGGACGAAAGUCUGAACCAGCCAUGCCGCGUGCAGGACGACGGCCCUACGGGUUGUAAACUGCUUUUAUAUGGGAAUAAACCCUCGAACGUGUUCGAGGCUGAAGGUACCAUACGAAUAAGGAUCGGCUAACUCCCUGCCAGCAGCCGCGGUAAUACGGAGGAUCCAAGCGUUAUCCGGAUUCAUUGGGUUUAAAGGGUCCGCAGGCGGGAUAAUAAGUCAGUGGUGAAAGCCUCCAGCUCAACUGGGGAAUUGCCAUUGAUACUGGUAUUCUUGAGUAUAGUUGAAGUGGGCGGAAUGAGUCAUGUAGCGGUGAAAUGCAUAGAUAUGACUCAGAACACCGAUAGCGAAGGCAGCUCACUAAACUAUUACUGACGCUCAGGGACGAAAGCGUGGGGAGCAAACAGGAUUAGAUACCCUGGUAGUCCACGCUGUAAACUAUGAUCACUCGCUGUUGGCGAUAUACUGUCAGCGGCCUAGCGAAAGCAUUAA
rnacentral:rRNA from 1 species